rnacentral:rRNA from 1 species
UGAGUAAUCGUGGGCAACAUGCCUGUAAGACUGGGAUAACACCGGGAAACCGGUGCUAAUACCGGAUAAUCCUUUUCCUCUCAUGAGGAAAAGCUGAAAGACGGUUUCGGCUGACACUUACAGAUGGGCCCGCGGCGCAUUAGCUAGUUGGUGAUGUAACGGCUCACCAAGGCGAGGACGCCUAUCCGACCUGAUAGGGUGACCGGCCACA